CAAGGAGAGCACAACACUUUUUAUACACAUCUUCUAAUAAGUUUUGAUCACUUGUAAUAUUUAUAUUUUUUUAAAAAAAAACUGAUCUGAGACUCAAGGUAGGACUAUUGAACCUGCAUUACUGUAUUUGAAUUUGCAUUCUAAACCGCAUAUUCACAUACUUUUAGCACUUAUGAUAAAAUUGCUUAUGAGGUUUCCAUUUAAAAAAAAAAAAAUCUAACUAUCAGAACACAAAGUCAAACAUAUGAAGAAACUGGUCUGUAUGUGAUUAUGUCACAUACAAUGCAUUAUGCUCUUUCAGUAGCUCCAUAGUGGGCAUGAUAUCAACCCAGCCUAUUUCUCUGCUCUCCAGAAAGUACAUUUAUUCAGCAGAGCUUUAAGAGCUGCUAGGGAAUUCUGGUGGAGCAAUAUUUUCCUUGUUGUUUGUGCCACUAAUUAGAAAGUGUUAAAGAGAAAGGAACAAUAUGCAUGUAUUAGA